rnacentral:lncRNA from 1 species
GCUUUGAGUUUACAAGCACCAUUUUGUCUUAUUUCUUGUUGGUUUGUGUUUAUUUGUUUACUGUUAUGCUUAUAGAUUCCUAUGCAACAACAAAUGCAUUCUUCCCUUCAUCUCCAUCAAAGGUUGACCAACAGUGGGAUCGUGGGACUCAUAGAGUUUGGAAGGCACGAUUAGGACACCAAAGAACCAUUUCAGUAUCCCUUUUACCACUAUUGCAGAGUCUCUCAUGGAUCUACACCUACUCCAUCUAUCUUGAGAUGAUAUGCUUCUGUUCAUGGUAUUAGAGCCUCCUAUCAACUUCUAAAGCUUGGAAUCAUAAUUCAUGACGAGCACAAGUAAUAUGAAUGUGAACCUGG